UUGGCACCCACCUUUCUCCCAACCCACUAAGAAACCUAAUCCUUCUCAACCUUCACGCACGCAAUCAUUUUUUUUUCUCGGCUUCCUGACACAAAACAACCAACGCAUCGACGCCACUCCUCUCUUCUCCACCUCUUCCUCACGGUCGGCGGUCCACCUCCUUUUCACCGUCGUCGGUCGGUCACCAUCUCCUUCCCUCUUCGAUUCACACCGCAGCCAAGGAACUCUUCAUCCACGUCACCCUUCGUGAUUUUCUGCCCUGACACCAUCACUUCCAUUGUCGGCUUCUCACGCUUCGAACGUCGAACACUGCUCUGCUCUCUAUCGCACACCACGAAGGCCGGCGGUGCCACCCUCACCUUCCUCGUCACCGUCGGUCGACUGCCACCUCUCCACUCUAUCUCUAUCCUCCACCACAUUCCCUCGCCCCCAAUCUGCUGUCGGUGCUUCAUCUCCGCCAUGCCCAAAAUCAGUCGUCGCCCUUCCUCUCCUCUUCGGGUUAGAAGUGGAGCUUCUCCCAUCAUCCAUGUGACUCUGUCCACCUCUGCUGUUAGUUUUCACCCAUCAGGCCGACCAUCUCCUUCUUUGGGCUAGAAGAAGAGAUUCGACCGCCCUUCCUCCCAGCAGUAGCCCUUCUUCGCAUUCCAACAGUUCUUCCUUCCUUCAUCCUCUGGGCAGCAUCUUUCUUCCAACCUGUGGUUGAUCUUCAUGUGUCAGUUGGGUUGAUUUAGUUAUACAUCGUUUAUGUCUGUGGAUUGUUAUUGUUGAAUGUUAAGUGCUUGUAUUAAUUUGACCUCCUAUGUUUCAAUUCCCACACAUUAUGGUUUCAUUGACUCAUGCCCACCAAGUGUUUGAUUAAAUGUCUUUUCCAUUAGAUAGGUUUUAGUUGAUGCAAUUUCUUUAAUUUAAUUCCAUGUAAUGCUUGUUAGUUUAGUGAUUUUGUUUCCACGAUGCUUGUCCUUCAUUUGGAUGUCAUUAGGUUAGACUAGUUUCCACUUCCAUCGAUCCUAAAUAACCUUCUAGUUCACUUGUUCUUAGACUCUGAGAUCAAUGGAAUGGAAAAGCUAUAAGUUCCUGGUUUUUUUGGGUGCACUUCCACUGGUCCUGAAUAACCUCAACUGUUGUGCUAUCCCCUAAAAGUGUUAACUUUGAAGUGCAAGCUCUGAUGGGCUUCAAAGCAUAUAGAGGAUCCACAUAAUGUUCUGGAGAACUGGGACUAGAUCUCUGUUGAUCCGUGUAGUUGGACCAUGAUCACUUGCUCAUCUCAAAACCUGAAUGGAUUUGCAUUGUUCCUGGAGUCAGUUUUGGGUGACAGAACUUUGACUGGGUCUGAAUCUCAACAUUGUGAAUCUAUAAACACCUACAUAGAGCAGAUACUAAUUAUUCCAGUCAGACCUUGUCAUGUGGACUAUAGAAACAAUCUUACAUGUCAUCAGCAAGAUAUUUUGAAGGUGAAUGGAUGUAUUAAAAAACUCUAGCUAAAUAGCUCGGGUACGAAUGAUUAUAGGAGCAACAACUACAUGCUAUGUGGUACUGCAUCCGAGCCUCAGGGGUGUGACUGGGAAGUACUUUAAUGAAGAACUAUAAGAAGGGUUUGGGAUUUAAGCGAGAAGAUGGCUAAAGCAAUGAGUAAAGAACAUUCAAGUCAAGAGGAUAAGUAUCAUCUAUCAAGAUCCUUUAAGUUCAUGCAAUAAGAUGUAGUUGAUAGGAGUAGUUUUGAGUAUCUCCUAAUUAAAAUUUCUUUGUAUGCGAGUAAUUAUGUUUGUUAUAGAAGUGUAAGGAUGAUAAUUUGUAUAUUUAUC